rnacentral:rRNA from 1 species
UACAGGGGGGGCAAGCGUUGUUCGGAAUUACUGGGCGUAAAGGGUUCGUAGGUGGCUUGCUAAGUCAGACGUGAAAUCCCUCAGCUUAACUGGGGAACUGCGUCUGAGACUGGCAAGCUUGAGUGCAGGAGAGGAACGCGGAAUUCCAGGUGUAGCGGUGAAAUGCGUAGAUAUCUGGAGGAACACCGGUGGCGAAGGCGGCGUUCUGGACUGCAACUGACACUGAAGAACGAAAGCCAGGGGAGCAAACGGG